rnacentral:misc_RNA from 1 species
GAUGAAGAACGCAGCGAAAUGCGAUACGUAAUGUGAAUUGCAGAAUUCAGUGAAUCAUCGAAUCUUAGAACGCAUAUUGCGCUCUUUGGUAUUCCGAAGAGCAUGCUUGUUUGAGUAUCAGUAAACACCUCAAAGUCUUUUUUUCUUGAAGAAAAAGACCUUGGACUUGAGCAAUCCCAACUCUUCUUUCAGAAGAGGCGGGUUGCUUGAAAUGCAGGUGCAGCUGGACAUUCUCCUGAGCUAAAAGCAUAUUCAUUUAGUCCCGUCAAACGGAUUAUUACUUUUGCUGCAGCUAACAUAAAGGGAGUUUGACCAUUUUGGCUGACUGAUGCAGGAAUUUCACAAGAGUCUUCAAAACGCUCUUGUUAAACUCGAUCGCAAAUCAAGUAAGACUACCCGCUGAACUUAAGCAUAUCAAUAAGCGGAGGA